rnacentral:rRNA from 1 species
GAUGAACGCUAGCUACAGGCUUAACACAUGCAAGUAGAGGGGCAGCAUUAGAGAAGCUUCGGCUUAUUGAGAUGGCGACCUGCGAAUGGGUGAGUAACACGUAUCCAACCUGGCUGUUACUGGAGGAUAGCCUCCCGAAAGGGAAAGUAAGACUCCAUAGUAUGAUUGCAAGACAUCUUGUGAUGAUUAAAGGUUACGGUAACAGAUGGGGAUGCGUCCCAUUAGGCAGUUGGCGGGGUAACGGCCCACCAAACCGACGAUGGGUAGGGGUUCUGAGAGGAAGGUCCCCCACAUUGGAACUGAGACACGGUCCAAACUCCUACGGGAGGCAGCAGUGAGGAAUAUUGGUCAAUGGACGAGAGUCUGAACCAGCCAAGUAGCGUGCAGGAAGACGGCCCUAUGGGUUGUAAACUGCUUUUAUAUGGGAAUAAAAGAUGAUACGAGUAUCAUAUUGCAAGUACCAUAAGAAAAGGAUCGGCUAAUUCCGUGCCAGC